UGCUGUGCUAGCAAUCAGCGAGACUCUGUGGGCAUAGGACCCUCCGAGCCAGGUGUGAGAUAUAAUCUCCUGGUGCGCGGUUUUUUAAGCCCGUCGGAAAAGCGCAGUAUUCAGGUGGGAGUGACCCGAUUUUCGGGAACUCCCUGACCCCUUGCGCUUCCCAGGUGAGGCAAUGCCUCUCCCUGCUUUGGCUCGCGCACGGUGCGCACACCCACUGACCUGCACCCAGUGUCUGGCACUCCCUAGUGAGAUGAACCCGGUACCUCAGAUGGAAAUGCAGAUAUCACCCGUCUUCUGUGUCGCUCACGCUGGGAGCUGUAGACCGGAGCUGUUCCUAUUCGGCCAUCUUGGCUCCCAAAUCCCAGCUCUUAAACGUGAUGACUAUUUCUCCAGUAUCUUCCUAGAAGUAUAACUAGAAGAAGG
rnacentral:lncRNA from 10 species